rnacentral:rRNA from 1 species
GCUCAGAGUAUAAGCCAAUGGAGCUUGGAAGGCUUCCGCAGCUUCCUGUUCAUCAUACGUGGUGUUCUUAAGACCUUGAGUGUGGCUCGUCAGGCGUAGCAUUGAGUUUGCCAGGUCUAGCUGUCGUGCGGGGGGUUCGGCCUGGAGGACUUCGGUUUCGGCCGGAGGGCUCUUCGGGUCGUCCCCUUUUGAAUGGACGUUCAGAACCUCUUGUGUCUAAUGCGGUUAUGCCCACCACAGCACGUUGUGAGGUCACCCACAGGCUCAAACUGCCGAUCGCGUAUCACGGACGAUGGCAACGAUGCGUUGUUGAUGAUGGCUCGAGAGAGACUUCACUCACACGCGUGUCUAGUCCUGGGUCGGGCGGCGACCGAGAUAAACCUGGUAUGAUCCUCUAGCGACGAGCUGCUUUCUGGCCAGACCGACGCCCGGGCGUUUCCACUGUGCCGGAAGCGCCAACCCCAGGCGGUGUGAACCCAGCUGCAUUAUGCAAGGUCUCUCAGCCGGGCGUUGGUCUGAGUGGUGUUAAGUCCAGCACCAUCGGUCACGUCUCGAAACACGGGCCAAGGAGUAUAGCAUGUGUGCAAGUCUAAGGGUCUCACAAAACCCGAAGGCGAAGUGAAAGCAAGACUGUGGCGGGGGAGCUACGGCAAACCCGCCGGCCUAGUGACGCUUGCGUCGCUGGCUUUUAGCAGAGCUGAUCCUGUUUUCUCGGUUAAUUCUUGGUGCAGGCGCAAGCUCCGGGCUCACGUACAACACUGGUCACGCCUCGCG